AGAGUGUAGCUAAACCU
rnacentral:tRNA from 1 species